rnacentral:rRNA from 1 species
AGCGUACACGGUGGAUGCCCUGGCAGUCAGAGGCGAUGAAGGGCGUGCUAAUCUGCGAUAAGCGCCGGUAAGGUGAUAUGAACCGUUAUAACCGGCGAUACCCGAAUGGGGAAACCCAGUGUGACUCGUCACACUAUCAUUAACUGAAUCCAUAGGUUAAUGAGGCGAACCGGGGGAACUGAAACAUCUAAGUACCCCGAGGAAAAGAAAUCAACCGAGAUUCCCCCAGUAGCGGCGAGCGAACGGGGAGGAGCCCAGAGCCUGAAUCAGCAUGUGUGUUAGUGGAAGCGUCUGGAAAGGCGCGCGAUACAGGGUGACAGCCCCGUACACAAAAGCGCAUGUGCUGUGAGCUCGAUGAGUAGGGCGGGACACGUGGUAUCCUGUCUGAAUAUGGGGGGACCAUCCUCCAAGGCUAAAUACUCCUGACUGACCGAUAGUGAACCAGUACCGUGAGGGAAAGGCGAAAAGAACCCCGGCGAGGGGAGUGAAAAAGAACCUGAAACCGUGUACGUACAAGCAGUGGGAGCACAGGUUUACCUGUGUGACUGCGUACCUUUUGUAUAAUGGGUCAGCGACUUAUAUUCUGUAGCAAGGUUAACCGUAUAGGGGAGCCGUAGGGAAACCGAGUCUUAACCGGGCGUUAAGUUGCAGGGUAUAGACCCGAAACCCGGUGAUCUAGCCAUGGGCAGGUUGAAGGUUGGGUAACACUAACUGGAGGACCGAACCGACUAAUGUUGAAAAAUUAGCGGAUGACCUGUGGCUGGGGGUGAAAGGCCAAUCAAACCGGGAGAUAGCUGGUUCUCCCCGAAAGCUAUUUAGGUAGCGCCUCGUGAAUUCAUCUCCGGGGGUAGAGCACUGUUUCGGCUAGGGGGCCAUCCCGGCUUACCAACCCGAUGCAAACUGCGAAUACCGGAGAAUGUUAUCACGGGAGACACACGGCGGGUGCUAACGUCCGUCGUGAAGAGGGAAACAACCCAGACCGCCAGCUAAGGUCCCAAAGUCAUGGUUAAGUGGGAAACGAUGUGGGAAGGCCCAGACAGCCAGGAUGUUGGCUUAGAAGCAGCCAUCAUUUAAAGAAAGCGUAAUAGCUCACUGGUCGAGUCGGCCUGCGCGGAAGAUGUAACGGGGCUAAACCAUGCACCGAAGCUGCGGCAGCGACGCUGAUGCGUUGUUGGGUAGGGGAGCGUUCUGUAAGCCUGUGAAGGUGGCCUGUGAGGGUUGCUGGAGGUAUCAGAAGUGCGAAUGCUGACAUAAGUAACGAUAAAGCGGGUGAAAAGCCCGCUCGCCGGAAGACCAAGGGUUCCUGUCCAACGUUAAUCGGGGCAGGGUGAGUCGACCCCUAAGGCGAGGCCGAAAGGCGUAGUCGAUGGGAAACGGGUUAAUAUUCCCGUACUUGGUGUUACUGCGAAGGGGGGACGGAGAAGGCUAUGUUGGCCGGGCGACGGUUGUCCCGGUUUAAGCGUGUAGGUGUGUGUUCCAGGUAAAUCCGGUUCACUUUAACACUGAGGCGUGAUGACGAGGCACUACGGUGCUGAAGCAACAAAUGCCCUGCUUCCAGGAAAAGCCUCUAAGCAUCAGGUAACAUCAAAUCGUACCCCAAACCGACACAGGUGGUCAGGUAGAGAAUACCAAGGCGCUUGAGAGAACUCGGGUGAAGGAACUAGGCAAAAUGGUGCCGUAACUUCGGGAGAAGGCACGCUGACACGUAGGUGAAGUGAUUUACUCAUGGAGCUGAAGUCAGUCGAAGAUACCAGCUGGCUGCAACUGUUUAUUAAAAACACAGCACUGUGCAAACACGAAAGUGGACGUAUACGGUGUGACGCCUGCCCGGUGCCGGAAGGUUAAUUGAUGGGGUCAGCGCAAGCGAAGCUCCUGAUCGAAGCCCCGGUAAACGGCGGCCGUAACUAUAACGGUCCUAAGGUAGCGAAAUUCCUUGUCGGGUAAGUUCCGACCUGCACGAAUGGCGUAAUGAUGGCCAGGCUGUCUCCACCCGAGACUCAGUGAAAUUGAACUCGCUGUGAAGAUGCAGUGUACCCGCGGCAAGACGGAAAGACCCCGUGAACCUUUACUAUAGCUUGACACUGAACAUUGAGCCUUGAUGUGUAGGAUAGGUGGGAGGCUUUGAAGCGUGGACGCCAGUCUGCAUGGAGCCGGCCUUGAAAUACCACCCUUUAAUGUUUGAUGUUCUAACGUGGACCCGUGAUCCGGGUUGCGGACAGUGUCUGGUGGGUAGUUUGACUGGGGCGGUCUCCUCCUAAAGAGUAACGGAGGAGCACGAAGGUUGGCUAAUCCUGGUCGGACAUCAGGAGGUUAGUGCAAUGGCAUAAGCCAGCUUGACUGCGAGCGUGACGGCGCGAGCAGGUGCGAAAGCAGGUCAUAGUGAUCCGGUGGUUCUGAAUGGAAGGGCCAUCGCUCAACGGAUAAAAGGUACUCCGGGGAUAACAGGCUGAUACCGCCCAAGAGUUCAUAUCGACGGCGGUGUUUGGCACCUCGAUGUCGGCUCAUCACAUCCUGGGGCUGAAGUAGGUCCCAAGGGUAUGGCUGUUCGCCAUUUAAAGUGGUACGCGAGCUGGGUUUAGAACGUCGUGAGACAGUUCGGUCCCUAUCUGCCGUGGGCGCUGGAGAACUGAGGGGGGCUGCUCCUAGUACGAGAGGACCGGAGUGGACGCAUCACUGGUGUUCGGGUUGUCAUGCCAAUGGCACUGCCCGGUAGCUAAAUGCGGAAGAGAUAAGUGCUGAAAGCAUCUAAGCACGAAACUUGCCCCGAGAUGAGUUCUCCCUGAGACUUAGAGUCUCCUGAAGGAACGUUGAAGACGACGACGUUGAUAGGCCGGGUGUGUAAGCGCAGCGAUGCGUUGAGCUAACCGGUACUAAUGAACCGUGAGGCUUAACCUUACAACGCCGAAG